UCGAGAAUAAUUCACAAUGGGGGCAACCCUGAUGGUGCAACGCCGCGUGGAGGAUAAGGUCUUCGGAUUGUAAACUCCUGUCAUCUCAGAGAUAGUAUGAGAAGAGGAAGGGACGGCUAACUUCGUGCCAGCAGCCGCGGUAAUACGAAGGUCCCAAGCGUUGUUCGGAAUCACUGGGCGUAAAGGGAGCGUAGGCGGUUAGGUAAGUCAGAUGUGAAAUCCCGGGGCUCAACCCCGGAACUGCAUCCGAUACUGCCUGACUUGAGCAAUGGAGAGGUAGCUGGAAUUCUCAGUGUAGCAGUGAAAUGCGUAGAUAUUGAGAGGAACACUCGUGGCGAAAGCGAGCUACUGGACAUUUGCUGACGCUGAGGCUCGAAGGCUAGGGUAGCGAAAGGGAUUAGAUACCCGGGU
rnacentral:rRNA from 1 species